ensembl:lncRNA
GGGCUGGCAGACGUGUGUGUUUGCCUAACAGCACGUCUGUGUGGUGCAUUGUGGGUCUUCUGAAAGCUGUGCGAUUUGGCGGGGAGCUGGACAGCCCUGGAGUCUGUUUUGGGCGUGGUGUUUCCCUGCGGCCGCCAUUGCUGAACUCGGCUGCAUGUACUUUUCCUCCGCUGCCAGUGCGCAGUCAUCAGCUGCAGCUGAUCCUGGGCUUACUGCUGUUUGGCUCCCUUUUCUGGAUGUGCUGGGCACUUAAUCAGCUCCUGCUCCUCAGAGCACUCUUCUACCCCGGUGUCCUGACGGACAGGCCGAGCUCGUCCAGCAGCGUGGUCCACCUGCAGGAGGCUGAGGAGCAUGUUUAAGGGCCGGACUCGGUGCUGGGGGCUCUGGAGCGGCAGCGGUUCCCUGGUGGUGGUCCCUUUUUCACUUUGUUUGCCGUGUCACGGGUGCUGUGUUUUUGGAUCCUUCCACUUUUCUGUUACCGCUGUCAUGGUGAGCCCCAGCCCUGUCCAGUUCAGGUUUCUUUGGCAGGCCUCAACACCUCCUUAAUUUUGAGUUAGUCUGCUGCUUUUAACUUUUAGGAUUUAAUAAAGAUUGUUUUAAUUUGAAAUCACGUCCUUGGUUCCAGUGGAUCAUUUGAAC